UACGAAGGGGGCGAGCGUUGUUCGGAUUUACUGGGCGUAAAGGGCGCGCAGGCGGUUCUGUUUGUCGAGUGUGAAAGCCCUUGGCUCAACUGAGGAAGUGCAUCCGAAACUGGCAGGCUAGAGUACGAAAGAGGAUCGCGGAAUUCCCGGUGUAGAGGUGAAAUUCGUAGAUAUCGGGAGGAACACCGGUGGCGAAGGCGGCGAUCUGGGUCGAUACUGACGCUGAGGUGCGAAAGCGUGGGGAGCAAACAGG
rnacentral:rRNA from 1 species